rnacentral:sRNA from 1 species
GCCAGGCGUGGUGGCGCAUGCCUGUAAUCCCAGCAGCUCAAGAGGCUGAGGCAGGAGGAUAGGAUGGUCAAAUCCAGCCUAGCAAAAGUGAGUCACUAAGCAACUCAGUAAGACCUUGUCUUUA